UACGUAGGGUGCAAGCGUUAAUCGGAAUUACUGGGCGUAAAGCGUGCGCAGGCGGUGAUGUAAGACAGGGGGGAAAUCCCCGGGCUUAACCUGGGAACUGCAUUUGUGACUGCAUCGCUGGAGUGCGGCAGAGGGGGAUGGAAUUCCGCGUGUAGCAGUGAAAUGCGUAGAUAUGCGGAGGAACACCGAUGGCGAAGGCAAUCCCCUGGGCCUGCACUGACGCUCAUGCACGAAAGCGUGGGGAGCAAACAGG
rnacentral:rRNA from 1 species